CGCACCUUGCGCUCCUUGGUAUUCCGAGGAGCAUGCCUGUUUGAGUGUCAUUAAAUUCUCAACCUAACCAGUUUGUAACGAGCUUGGAUAGGCUUGGAUGUGGGAGUUGCGGGCUUCUCAGAAGUCAGCUCUCCUUAAAUGCAUUAGCGAAACCUUUGUUGACCGUCUAUGGUGUGAUAAUUAUCUACGCCGCAGAGGGCUCAGCGAGUUUGUGGGCUUCGCUUCUAAACCUGUCUUUAUUGACAACCCCUUGACAUUUUGACCUCAAAUCAGGUAGGACUACCCGCUGAACUUAA
rnacentral:misc_RNA from 1 species